CGAGCUAACCGAUACCAACCAUCACUGGUUCUAACCGGCUGGUAAAGUUGGUAAAGUCCAUUUCAGAAAAUGGAGUUGCAACAGAGCGACACCACCCAUCCCAGAAGCAGAGAAAAUGUCUAACUGACCUCUUGGAGACAAGGGCCUUUCUAUCCUAAUCAGACAGCACCAAAUGUUCUGUAAACACCAGCCAGAGAGGCUUGUAGGAAGACAAAACAAAAAGGCAGCGACUGUCAGCUGUUACAGAAUCACAGUGUUCACAGGAUGUCAUCAGUACAAUACAACAGUGAAUAAUCAGUGUGUCCUUGUACAUCCAGUCUGGCGUCAACCACUAUCAACAGAUAGGAGAAUAAUCCAUAACAUUCACUAUCAAGUCUAGUGACCAUCAACCUGCACCUUGAGUGUCACAAACAGAACACUGGAAAUCAUGUGUAUUACAGAAAAGGAGCUGUUGUCGUGCAGUGAGGACCAGCGUGUGGACAAAGGACACCAGUGCUCAACAGCACGGCCCUGAUGAACUAGUGGAUGAAGAGGAGGAUCUCUACAGGAAGGCCUGUAAACACCUGUGGACACAAACUGGCCUAUGAGGAGAUGUAGCUUUGUGUCUUUUAAAUCAGAGGCUCACAGGGGGAGUUUUUUUUGUGGGUCUCUGGUAAUACACCAGACAUGUAAAACUGAGAUUCAAAUGAGUGAUACAUCAUACUUCUCACAUGCCUUGAAGCUGAAGCAAGGAGGCCUACCUGAAAUUGUCUCAGCACAUGCCAUACCACAAAGCCACCGCAAGAGAGCAUUAAUACAUCAAAACAUUUUUUUACAGACAAACGUACACCGCUCAGAAGCUGGCGAUGGCUGCAAUGUUAUGUUAUCAAUUGUUUAGCAUGUUAACUUCCAUUUUGUAUUUGUCACUUCUAAGAUGUAAUGUGUAGAAGGAUCUGCAUGUGCAAAAUAAAUAUAUUUUUCCAUAAUGUGA